rnacentral:rRNA from 1 species
CAGCCGCCACGGUAAUACGUAGGGUGCGAGCGUUAAUCGGAAUUACUGGGCGUAAAGCGUGCGCAGGCGGUUAUAUAAGACAGAUGUGAAAUCCCCGGGCUCAACCUGGGACCUGCAUUUGUGACUGUAUAGCUAGAGUACGGUAGAGGGGGAUGUAAUUCCGCGUGUAGCAGUGAAAUGCGUAGAUAUGCGGAGGAACACCGAUGGCGAAGGCAAUCCCCUGGACCUGUACUGACGCUCAUGCACGAAAGCGUGGGGAGCAAACAGGAUUAGAUACCCGCGUAGUCCCUGUCUCUUAUAC